ACUCAAAUGAAUUGACGGGGACCCGCACAAGCGGUGGAGCAUGUGGUUUAAUUCGAGGCAACGCGAAGAACCUUACCUACCCUUGACAUGUUAGUGAACCUUUUCAGAGAUGAAUUGGGCCCUCACGGGCGCUAACACAGGUGCUGCAUGGCUGUCGUCAGCUCGUGUCGUGAGAUGUUGGGUUAAGUCCCGCAACGAGCGCAACCCUUAUCCUUAGUUGCUAACAUUUAGUUGAGAACUCUAAGGAAACUGCCGGUGAUAAGCCGGAGGAAGGUGGGGACGACGUCAAGUCUUCAUGGCCCUUACGGGUAGGGCUACACACGUGCUACAAUGGCUACUACAACGGGAAGCUAAAUCGCGAGAUCAUGCAAACCCCUUAAAAGUAGUCUCAGUUCGGAUUGCACUCUGCAACUCGAGUGCAUGAAGUCGGAAUCGCUAGUAAUCGCGGAUCAGCACGCCGCGGUGAAUACGUUCCCGGGUCUUGUACACACCGCCCGU
rnacentral:rRNA from 1 species